GACGAACGCUGGCGGCGUGCUUAACACAUGCAAGUCGAACGGAAAGGCCCUGCUUUUGUGGGGUGCUCGAGUGGCGAACGGGUGAGUAACACGUGAGUAACCUGCCCUUGACUUUGGGAUAACUUCAGGAAACUGGGGCUAAUACCGGAUAGGAGCUCCUGCUGCAUGGUGGGGGUUGGAAAGUUUCGGCGGUUGGGGAUGGACUCGCGGCUUAUCAGCUUGUUGGUGGGGUAGUGGCUUACCAAGGCUUUGACGGGUAGCCGGCCUGAGAGGGUGACCGGCCACAUUGGGACUGAGAUACGGCCCAGACUCCUACGGGAGGCAGCAGUGGGGAAUAUUGCACAAUGGGCGGAAGCCUGGUGCAGCAACGCCGCGUGCGGGAUGACGGCCUUCGGGUUGUAAACCGCUUUCGCCUGUGACGAAGCGUGAGUGACGGUAAUGGGUAAUGAAGCACCGGCUAACUACGUG
rnacentral:rRNA from 1 species